rnacentral:lncRNA from 1 species
GGGUAUAAAUCAGUCGAUGAAAUGUAAAAAUGUAGCUCUUUGGUCUGGCAUCGAAGUAGACAAAGAAGAAACAGGCACUUAAUAAACGCCUUUGGAGGCUUGUGAUUUGCGUGGGGCUUCCAAUAAAAGGCAAAGUCUUUGCUUUGAGGUUACACACUCUGAACCCAGGGUGCUCCUUGGGCCUCUGGUCACAGCACAAGCAGUGCUGGUGCCUCGAUCCACAACCCUGGCCCUCGCAGCUCGGCCAUCUCUGGGACCCAGCAGGAAAGAGGGAAGGCUCCUUCCUGCAGCCAGCAGCAGACAUGCCCCCUUGAUGGCUUCUUUGGAAACCAGGGCAGGAGGCGAUUCAAACACUACAGCAACAGUUCCAAACGCGGUCCCUGGACCAGCACAGCAGCAGCACCCGGACGCAUGUUAGAAAUGAGCAUUCAGAGGCCUGCCCCAGACCUGCUGAAGCGGACACUCGGGGGCUGGGCCCCAUAGGCUUGUUUGAACAAGACUCUCCAGAAGAUCCCGAUGCCCCCUGGAGUCUGAGAACUCUAGAACACAGAGAAGGCUUACAUGUUGUGAUGCUGUAUCUCAUGUUGCCUAUGUCUGCACCAGCCUCAAGAUUCAUCUUUAAAGUAAAAUUUCCGAGGGCAGUCUGUGUUGAAGAAGAUUCAGCCCUGUCCUCCUCCACUGGGGAACCACAUGCACUCUUUUCCAACUUGGUCCAAUGAGGAAGCCUCCACAUGGGUUUUGGGUGCAACUGGACAAAGGUGAUGCCUCCUCCCGCCGCCCCUCCCCCAGCUGCAAUGAUAUUCCAGACCCUUGUCUACUGGAGACCGGCGUCCCCCUGGCAUUACAACCGUCAUCCCAAUGUUCUCAUUUUAUACGAGAAAAACCUGAGACCCAGAGGGCUUGAGUGAAUUGUGCAGUCUCUGUACUUGUCUAUCUGGUCAAGGGCAGGUCUGGAUUCCCACUGAGACCAAGGGCUCCCGCCGGGGCCCUCGGAAGGAUGGUGAAGGCUGGGAGAUGCCUGCACCUGACUCCAGCUUGUGUCCUCAGGCUCGUUGCCACUCAGAUGAAGCAACUCAGGCACCACUGGACAUGUUCCCUGCCCUGCCUGUGGUUCACAGUGUUAGGUUGGUUUUCCCUCUUUCACCUUUAAAAAUAUCACCCAUGGAGACAUUUGAACCUCUGCUGGAACUGAGGUCGGCAUCAGUCCCUAUGACAGCUCAAUGUGACCAAGACUAGGAGCAUCUAUGACACGAGCUCAUCCAUUCACGGGGUUGAAGCCCCAAGUCAAAAUGCCACCUGCCUGGGACAGACGCCUCCUGAUAAGCCCCUUGUGGGCCUGCUUCUAAACUGGAUCUCAAGAAAGCAGAGAAAUGGAGGAAGAAAGAAGCAAGCCUGGGACUGGGCACUAGGAGGAACCUCUUUUACCCAUGAGAAAAAUGAGGUGUUGAGAGGUUAAGCACCCUGCCUAAGUUCACCCAGAUCUUCAGCAGAAGAGCCAAGGCUUGCACCCAGAUGGUCUGCCCCCAGGUCUUGGGUGCUGAAUAACCCUCUCCUCUUCCAUCUUUCUGAGUGAUCCCGAUGGUCCCCAUGUGACGCUGCCAUUCACAGCUCUCUGUUCCGGUCACCCAGCUCCUAGGAGGCUGCGGUGAUGCGAUUCCCCACAGCAGAGUUAUGGAGAAACCCUCCCCUCCACAUGCCCAGCCACCCCAAGUGGCAGCAUUUGAGAACAAAACUGUGCACCUUUCCACCUUCUCAGGUCUUGAAGGAGCUUCCUGAACCAAGCAGAUUGAAUGGUACGGCAGGAGAGACAGGGAAAUUCAGAGCAAGAACAAGCUGUAAAGAGGCCUUGCUGAGACUUGGGGCAAGUGAUGGAAAACUCACUUCAAGAGGCUUAAGCAUAAAAAAAGAGGGAAAUUUAUUUUCCUAAUGCAUUUCUGUGUAGUGGGGACUAUUGAAACGCUUGCUCAAGUUCACACAAGCGGAUGACAGAGCUGGGAUGGAACCCAGACGGCUCGGUGCUCUAACCACGGGCUGGCAGCCAUGACGCCACCUGAGAGCUUGUUAGAACUGCAGUGCCUCAGGCCCCUCCUCGACUCCUGUCGGAUUCUGCUUCUGCUUCUAACAAGGUCCCAGGUGACACAUCUGUGCAUUCCAGCCUGAGAAGUGUGCCCCAGAGAACCGUCCUAUGUUCUGUCUGGGUCGGUCGGACCUCGAGCUGACGUCCAGGAGCACCGCUGGCAGGAAUCUGCCUGUUCGCUGCUCUGCUUCCGGCACCUAGAACAAUGCCUGUCGUAUAGUCGACGCUCAAUAAAUAUUUCCUGAGUGAAUGCAUAAAUGAAUGAAUGCACUGAAUUUGGGUACGUCUGGUUUAAGCUCCAGGCUCAGAACAGGCUUGAAGAUCUUCAUCCUAUUAGCACGGGGUUUCUGCCAGGGCUGGAGCCCUCCUCCCCAGCCCUGUUGUUGGAAGCUGGGAAGGGGUCGAAAGGUGUCUCUGGCAUGGGGAUUACUCGUCAUUUGGGAUUACCUGCUUCCCUCAUUAGUGGGGGUAAUCAGCAGUGGCAACACAGGCCCAGUGUUGGAUCAAAUCAUAAAAAUUCCCCAAAUCUCCCAGGAAGCUGCCUCUCUCCCAGCCACGUUCCUCAUUUCUUCCGUUUGUUCAUCAAACUGUCCCCACCUUGGGCACACGGGCUGUUCGGCCGCUCACACAUCUCGGCCGCGUUUCACAUCCCUGGGAGUUAUUUCAGCAACAUUUCUCCAAGCAUCUGAGAAGGGUUUUAUUUUUGUUCGGUGAAAAAUCUUCAAAGGCGUCUCUCUGAGCUUUGAGUCCGGCAUGGAGGAUUUGAAACAUUGAAUGGGAAUUGUUAUGUUUUUUCAAGGAGGAAUUAUUCUCAGCAAAGUCUGGGAUGGGCCCGGAGGAGACAGCCAGACGUCUCCAGGUAGAAGGAGCUUCCUGCUGUUUUUGGGGGAAUCAAAGAGAACCCGGGAGCUCCCGCCCCCCACAUGCCUGGCCUGACCCCAGCCUUUCAUGCGCAGCAGCCACAGGGAGGAGAGAAAGCACAAAACCCGAAAAAACCCCCAAAGUAAAGGCUUAAAAUGAAACCAUUUCACGAGGACAAUACUCUGUUCUUCUUUAAACUCUACCCAAGAACAAAUGGAAGUCUUUUUUCAGGGGAAAGACUGGAUAUGGGCUUUGAUCCUCAGAGGCCUUUAUUUUGGGUACCUCCCCGCCUGACCUCCUUUCGUUAUCUCCAAACUCCCUAGAGGCCAGGGUGGGGGUGGGGGAGGACAGGAGCCUCCAACCCUCCCCAGGUGAGGACCCCUGGCCUGGGUCUGGGGGCGCUUGGUAGGGCCAGCUCGGGUUUGGGGGAUAGUGAAGGGUCUGCUUUUAUCUGGGCGGUCUAGGACAAGUUAAGUCCAGAGAAAUAAUGGUGUCCGUUCCCUUCCAUCACCAAAGCGGGGCAUCUCUUUUGCAACGCGCUUUCCCAGGGAGGGUCAUCACAGAGCUGGUGCACUUGGGUGGAAAUCUGGAUGUUAAAAUAAAAUACUGUCAUGCAUCCCACUUAAGCAGUGUGACUCUG